rnacentral:rRNA from 1 species
GGGGUCUGGACCGUGUCUCAGUUCCAGUCUGGCUGGUCAUCCUCUCAGACCAGCUAAUGAUCGUCGGCUUGGUGAGCCAUUACCUCACCAACUACCUAAUCAUACGCAGGCCACUCCCAAAGCGGAUAAAUCCUUUAAUCCGAAGAUCAUAUGCGGCAUUAGACUCCAUUUCUGGAGCUUAUUCCUCACUUUGGGGCAUGUUCCCACGCGUUACUCAGCCGUCCGCCGCUCGUCAGCAUCUAGUAAACUAGACCUGUUACCGCUCGACUUGCAUGUGUUAAGCACGCCGCCAGCAUUCAUC